rnacentral:rRNA from 1 species
AUUGAACGCUGGCGGCACGCUUAACACAUGCAAGUCGAGCGGUAACAUGACUAGUAGCAAUACUAGUUGAUGACGAGCGGCGGACGGGUGAGUAACACGUAGGAACUUGCCCAGUAGUGGGGGACAACCAAGGGAAACUUUGGCUAAUACCGCAUAUUCUCGAGAGAGGAAAGCUGCCGCAAGGUGGCGCUAUUGGAGAGGCCUGCGUCCGAUUAGCUAGUUGGUGAGGGAAAGGCUCACCAAGGCGAGGAUCGGUAACUGGUCUGAGAGGACGAGCAGUCACACUGGGACUGAGACACGGCCAAGAAUCCUACGGGAGGCAGCAGUGGGGAAUCUUGGACAAUGGGCGAAAGCCUGGUCCAGCAAUGCCGCGGGUGUGAAGAAGGCCUUCGGGUUGUAAAGCACUUUUGUCCGGAAAGAAAUGGCUCUGGUUAAUACCUGGGGUCGAUGACGGUACCGGAAGAAUAAGGACCGGCUAACUACGUGCCAGCCGCCGCCGUAA